AAGGUCAUAAACUUGAACAUGCACCUCCCAGGUUGGGUGUGCACGUGAAACAAGAUCAAUGUAAGUUCUGCUCUGUAAGUGCUGUUUUUUAAGCAGUCACCUAGUGUGCUCACUUAUUAGAAAAACGUUCGGGUUUUAGUACACCUUCUGUCACAAGAAAAGAAUUGGACAGAUCUCACAUUUCACCCUACUACAUGCCAGGCUUGUUUCUUGGAGGAAAAAAGAACAACAUAACAUGACCUGCUACCAAGCAAUUUAGGACCUUGGUGGGGAGA
rnacentral:lncRNA from 1 species